GCGGCAGGCUUAACACAUGCAAGUCGUGCGCGAACGGGGCUUCGGCUCCUAGUAGAGCGGCGAACGGGUGAGUAACACGUGGGUAACCUGCCUGGGAGUGGGAAAUAACCUGGGGAAACUCGGGCUAAUACCGCAUACGUUCCCGGAGCUACGGCUCCGGGAAGAAAGAUGGCCUCUGCUUGCAAGCCAUCGCUCCCAGAGGGGCCCGCGGCUGAUUAGCUAGUUGGUGAGGUAACGGCCCACCAAGGCGACGAUCAGUAGCCGGCCUGAGAGGGUGAUCGGCCACACUGGAACUGAGACACGGUCCAGACUCCUACGGGAGGCAGCAGUGGGGAAUAUUGGACAAUGGGGGAAACCCUGAUCCAGCAACGCCGCGUGGGGGAUGAAGGUCUUCGGAUUGUAAACCCCUGUUGAGAGGGACGAAGGCUUCCGGGCGAACAGUCCGGAGGCUUGACGGUACCUCGAGAGGAAGCCCCGGCUAACUCUGUGCCAGCCGCCGCAGUAAGAC
rnacentral:rRNA from 1 species